UCGAGAAUCUUUCGCAAUGCCCGAAAGGGUGACGAAGCGACGCCGCGUGCGGGAGGAAGGCCUUCGGGUUGUAAACCGCUGUCGGGAGUUAAGAAAUGCAAGGAUGUUAAUAGCGUUCUUGCUUGACUAAGGCUCCGGAGGAAGCCACGGCUAACUCUGUGCCAGCAGCCGCGGUAAUACAGAGGCGGCAAGCGUUGUUCGGAAUUAUUGGGUGUAAAGGGCGCGCAGGCGGGUUAGCAAGUCAGAGGCGAAAUCCUACAGCUUAACUGUAGAACUGCCUUUGAGACUGCUAAUCUUGAGUACGGAAGAGAGAGAUGGAAUUCCAGGUGUAGUGGUGAAAUACGUAGAUAUCUGGAAGAACACCAGUGGCGAAGGCGGUCUCUUGGUCCUAUACUGACGCUGAGUGUGCGAAAGCUAGGGGAGCAAACGGGAUUAGAUACCCCCGUAGUCCCUGAGCGGGCUGGCAAGGCGCAU
rnacentral:rRNA from 1 species